rnacentral:rRNA from 1 species
UACGUAGGGUGCAAGCGUUAAUCGGAAUUACUGGGCGUAAAGCGUGCGCAGGCGGUUUGUAAGUCUGUCGCGAAAGCCCCGGGCUCAACCUGGGAAUUGCGAUGGAGACUGCAAGGCUUGAAUCUGGCAGAGGGGGGUAGAAUUCCACGUGUAGCAGUGAAAUGCGUAGAGAUGUGGAGGAACACCGAUGGCGAAGGCAGCCCCCUGGGUCAAGAUUGACGCUCAUGCACGAAAGCGUGGGGAGCAAACAGG